rnacentral:rRNA from 1 species
UACGUAGGGGGCUAGCGUUGUCCGGAAUCAUUGGGCGUAAAGCGCGUGUAGGCGGUCCGGUAAGUCCGCUGUGAAAGUCGGGGGCUCAACCCUCGAAUGCCGGUGGAUACUGUCGGGCUAGAGUGCGGAAGAGGCGAGUGGAAUUCCUGGUGUAGCGGUGAAAUGCGUAGAUAUCGGGAGGAACACCAGUGGCGAAGGCGACUACCUGGCCUGUUCUUGACGCUGAGGCGCGAAAGCUAGGGGAGCAAACGGG